rnacentral:rRNA from 1 species
UGGGGAAUCUUGCGCAAUGGCCGAAAGGCUGACGCAGCGACGCCGCGUGGGGGAUGAAGCAUUUCGGUGUGUAAACCCCUGUUGCCCGGGACGAACAGCGCUUUUCGAGGCGCCUGACGGUACCGGGUGAGGAAGCACCGGCUAACUCCGUGCCAGCAGCCGCGGUAAUACGGAGGGUGCGAGCGUUGUCCGGAAUCACUGGGCGUAAAGGGCGCGUAGGCGGCGCGGGAAGUCCGUGGUGAAAGCCCGAGGCUCAACUUCGGGUCGGCCAUGGAUACUCCUGGGCUUGAGCACUGUAGAGGCAGGUGGAAUUCCGGGUGUAGCGGUGGAAUGCGUAGAGAUCCGGAAGAACACCGGUGGCGAAGGCGGCCUGCUGGGCAGUAGCUGACGCUGAGGCGCGACAGCGUGGGGAGCAAACAG